rnacentral:tRNA from 1 species
GGAUUGUGGCUUAGUGGUAGAGCACCCUCCUGGCAUGGGCGGGACCCGGGUUCGAUCCUUAGCACCA